rnacentral:rRNA from 1 species
GACGAGCUCUCCAAACGUUAUUCGGUAUCACUGGGCUUAAAGAGUUCGUAGGCGGCUUUGUAGGUGGGGUGUGAAAGCCCUCGGCUCAACCGAGGAACUGCGCUCCAAACCGCAAGGCUUGAGGGAUAUAGGGGUAAGCGGAACAGAUGGUGGAGCGGUGAAAUGCAUUGAUAUCAUCUGGAACACCGGUGGCGAAAGCGGCUUACUGGAUAUUUUCUGACGCUGAGGAACGAAAGCUAGGGUAGCGAACGGG